AUUGAACGCUGGCGGCAGGCCUAACACAUGCAAGUCGAACGAGUGGCGGACGGGUGAGUAAUGUCUGGGAAACUGCCUGAUGGAGGGGGAUAACUACUGGAAACGGUAGCUAAUACCGCAUACCAUCAGAUGUGCCCAGAUGGGAUUAGCUAGUAGGUGGGGUAAUGGCUCACCUAGGCGACGAUCCCUAGCUGGUCUGAGAGGAUGACCGUCCACACUGGAACUGAGACACGGCCCAGACUCCUACGGGAGGCAGCAGUGGGGAAUAGUGCACAAGGGGCGAAAGCCUGAUGGAGCCAGGCCGCGUGUGUGAAGAAGGCCUUCGGAUUGUAAAGCACUUUCGGCGAGGAAGCGUUACUCACAGAAAAAGCACCGGCUAACUCCGUGCAAGAAGCCGCGGUAAUAC
rnacentral:rRNA from 1 species